rnacentral:rRNA from 1 species
UGUCUAAUUAAAACAAAGCAUUGCGAGGGCCGUUGAUCGGUGCUGACGCAAUGU